AGCUCAGUGGUUGAGCGUUGGCUUUGGAAGCCACAGGUCGGUGGUUCAAAUCCACC
rnacentral:tRNA from 1 species